rnacentral:sRNA from 1 species
AUGUACCACUCGUACACUCCGGUUCCUGUGCGCCGCCCGCACCCGCCUGACGACUGCUCGCAGCGACGCGCUAGCG